AUGACACGAUCCCAUUCCCAGUUCAUCCCAGUUCAAGAUCCCAUUCCCAGCUCAGUAUCCCAUUCCAAGUUUAGGAUCCCGUUCCCAGUUCAGGAUCCCAUUCCCAGUUCAGAUCCCAUUCCCAGUUCAGAUCCUAUUCCUAUGACACGAUCCCAUUCCCAGUUCAGGAUCCCAUCCCAGUUCAGAUCCCAUUCCCAGCACAGGAUCCCGUUCCCAGUUCAGAUCCCAUCCCAGCACAGGAUCCCAUUCCCAUGUUCAGAUCCCAUUCCCAGUUCAGAUCCCAUUCCCAGUUCAGAUCCCAUUCCCAGUUCAGAUCCCAUUCCCAGUUCAGAUCCCAUUCCCAGUUCAGAUCCCAUUCCCAGUUCAGAUCCCAUUCCCAGUUCAGAUCCCAUUCCCAGUUCAGAUCCCAUUCCCAGUUCAGAUCCCAUUCCCAGUUCAGAUCCCAUUCCCAGCACAGGAUCCCAUUCCCAGCACAGGAUCCCAUUCCCAGCACAGGAUCCCUUUCCCAGCUCAGGAUCCCAAAAUCCCCCCUGAUCUCCCAAAGCCAUGGAUAAAGGCUGGAUUUUGGUUUGGAAAAGCCAUUCCCCAAUGGGAAACGGACCCUGGGAUUUGAAUUUGCACAUCCAGGGUCCCCAAAUCCCCCCUGGACUCCCAGAGGAGCAGCUGAGGGAUGGAAUUUGGUUUUAACAGCCAUCCCCAGCUGGAGCAGGGCACACAGGGAGGCUUCCCCCCUUCCCAGCUCACUCCAAGCAGGAAAACCCAACUCAGGGAACGAGGAGCAGCUUCUCCAGGUGGGAUUUUUGUCCCUCCUGCACAGGGAUGAGCAGCAGCUUCUUGCCAAGCCCGGCCUGGGAGGUGCCUUUGGGAUUUUUCCCGGGAUUUUGGGGACUCUAAACUGGAAACAGCAGCUCCAGCCCCACCCUGGGAUCCCAGGAGAGCCCCUGGAAUGGGAUCAGGGAUUCAGGGGGGAAAAAGGGGAUGAACUCCAGGAGGAUGAAGGCUGGCCAGCUGCCACACCCCAUUAAAAUGUACCUUUAGCAAUUUAAACUCCAAGUAUCAGUUAAAAAUCAGCGUUUUUUAGAGCUGUUAAAAAAUGGAACUGAGUUUUUCCCCCUCCCCACCACACAGAGGGAUUUUGGGAUGUCCCCAUUCCUCGUCCCCUCAAGUACCUUGACACCCAGAGCAGGAGGCAGGUAAUUACCCCUGGGUAAUUAAAGCCAAUCUGGCCACAAAAUCAAUGAUUUGGGGUUUUCCUUACACAG
rnacentral:lncRNA from 1 species